UACGUAGGGGGCAAGCGUUGUUCGGAAUUACUGGGCGUAAAGGGCGCGUAGGCGGCCAUUCAAGUUAGGUGUGAAAGCCCUGGGCUCAACCUAGGAAUUGCACUUGAUACUGUUUGGCUUGAGUUCGGGAGAGGUGAGUGGAAUUCCCAGUGUAGAGGUGAAAUUCGUAGAUAUUGGGAAGCACACCAGUGGCGAAGGCGGCUCACUGGACCGACACUGACGCUGAGGCGCGAAAGCGUGGGGAGCAAACAGG
rnacentral:rRNA from 1 species